CCUGGUUGAUCCUGCUAGUAGUCAUAUGCUUGUCUCAAAGAUUAAGCCAUGCAUGUGUAAGUAUGAGCAAUUCAGAUCGUGUGAAACUGCGCAUGGCUCAUUAAAUCAGUUAUAGUUUGUUUGAUGGUAACUACUACUUUCGGAUAACUGUAGUAAUUCUAAAGCUAAUCGUCCCGACUUCUGGAAGGGAUGCAUUUAUUAGAUAAAAGGUCAAAGGCGGGCUCGCUCGUUGCUCGAUGAUUCAUGAUAACUUCGGCGGAUCGCAUGGCCUUAGUGCUGGCGAUGCAUCAUUCAAAUUUCUGCCCUAUCAACUUUCGAUGGUAGGAUAGUGGCCUACCACGGUGGUAACGGGUGUCGGAGAAUUAGGGUUUGAUUCUGGAGAGGAGCCUGAGAAACGGCUACCACAUCCAAGGAAGUCCAUGGCGUAAAUUAGCCAAUCGACGCGGGGAGGUAGUGACAAUAAAUAACAAUACCGGGCUCUUUGGUAAUUGGAAUGAGUACAAUCUAAAUCCCUUAACGAGGAUCCAUUGGAUGGCAAGUCUGGUGCCAGAAGCCGCGGUAAUUCCUGCUCCAAUGGCGUAUAUUUAAACUGUUGCAGUUAAAAGCUUCGUGGUUGAACCUUGGGAUGGGUCGCCCGUUCCACCUUCCGGUGAGCACCGGUCGACUUGUCUCUUCUGUCGGCGGUAUGCUCCUGGCCUUAACUGGCUGGGUGGGUGCCUCGGUGCUGUUACUUUUAAAGAAAUUAGAGUGCUCAAAGCAAGCCUAACGCUCUGUAUACAUUAGCAUGGGAUAACAUCAUGGGAUUUUGAUCCUAUUGUGUUGGCCGGGAUCGAAGUAAUGAUUAACGAGGGGACAGUCGGGGCAUUCAGUAUUUCAUAGUCGAGUUGAAAUUCUUGGAUUUAUGAAAGAAGAACAACUGCAAAAGCAUUUGCCAAGGAUGUUUUCAUUAAUCAAGAACGAAAGUUGGGGGCUCGAAGGCGAUCAGAUACUGUGUUAGUCUCAACCAUAAACGAUGCCGACCCAGGGAUCAGCGGAUGUUGCUUUUAGGACUCGCUGGCCCCUUAUGAGAAAUCAAAGUUUUUGGGUUCCGGGGGAGUAUGGUGUAAGGCUGAAACUUAAGGGAAUUGACGGAAGGGCACCACGAGGAGUGGAGCCUGCGGCUUAAUUUGACUCAACACGGGGAAAAUUACCAGGUCCAAACAUAGUAAGGAUUGACAGACUGAGAGCUCUUUCUUGAUUCUAUGGGUGGUGGUGCAUGGCCGUUCUUAGUUGGUGGAGCGAUUUGUCUGGUUAAUUCCAUUAACGAACGAGACCUCAGCCUGCUAAUUAGCUUCGUGGAGGCAUCCCUUCACGGUCGGAAGCUUAGAGGGACUAUGGCCAUUUAGGCCAAGGAAAGUUUGAGGCAAUAACAGGUCUGUGAUGCCCUUAGAUGUUCUGGGCAGACGCGUACUACACUGAUGUAAUCAUCGAAGUUCACACCUUGACCGACAGGCCGGGUAAUCUUUGAAAUUUCAUCGUGAUGGGGAUAGAUCAUUGCAAUUGUUGGUCUUCAACGAGGAAUUCUAGGAAUUCAUCAGCUCCCAUUAACUACGUCCCUGCCCUUUGUACACACACGCUGUCUGUCGCUCCUACCAAUUGAAUGAUCCGGUGAAAUGUUCGAUUGCGGCGGCGUGGGUGGUGUAACA
rnacentral:rRNA from 1 species